UACGUAGGGGGCAAGCGUUGUCCGGAUUCAUUGGGCGUAAAGAGCGUGUAGGCGGCCAGGUAGGUCGGUUGUGAAAACUGGAGGCUCAACCUUCAGAGGUCGACCGAAACCAUCUGGCUAGAGUCCGGGAGAGGAGAGUGGAAUUCCUGGUGUAGCGGUGAAAUGCGCAGAUAUCAGGAGGAACACCAAUGGCGAAGGCAGCUCGCUGGGACGUUACUGACGCUGAGACGCGAAAGCGUGGGGAGCAAACAGG
rnacentral:rRNA from 1 species